rnacentral:rRNA from 1 species
CCGAUGAGGUGGAAACGGACAGAGCUGGCGUAUCUGGCUUGCAUUCAGCCGCUGCGCGUCGGGCCCCGGUUUGCCGCACUCCAGAUUGGGAAGGUGGCUGGGCUGCUGGCGUGCUGGUGGUGCAUUUGCAGGUGGAGUGCGCCGAGGCGCCCGGUUCAGCGGCAUGAGCUCGGCUUUGAGGCCAGUCGCGCAAGCGGUCUGGUACCCGGGUCGGGGGAGUGUUGUUUGGGCUGGGUGUUAGCUUGGGCACAGGUUUCGGGCCCGUGUAGGUGCCGAGCUGGCGGUCGGCGGCGGUCGCGUGCGACACGUGCCAGCAGUCAGUUCGGUCCUGCUCGAGCUCUCUCGUGUCCGGCCUCGGUGUAAAAGCCGGUCAUCUGUCCGACCCGUCUUGAAACACGGACCAAGGAGUUUAGGGUGUGCGCGAGUCAUUGGGUGUUGAAAACCCAGAGGCGUAAUGAAAGUGAAGGUCUGCCUUGUGCAGCUGAUGUGUGAUCCUGGGCGCCGCGGCGUCCGGGCGCAACAUAGUCCCGUCCCGACUGCAUGCAGUGGGGCGGAGACAGAGCGUACGCGCUGAG